UUUCGGAGGAAUGGAUAAGA
rnacentral:miRNA from 1 species